GCAGCCGUGGCCGAGUGGUUAACGCAAUGGACUUAAAAUCCAUUGGGUUGUACCCGCAUAGGUUCGAAUCCUGCCGACUGCG
rnacentral:tRNA from 1 species